rnacentral:rRNA from 1 species
CCUACGGGUGGCAGCAGUGGGGAAUAUUGCACAAUGGGGGAAACCCUGAUGCAGCGACGCCGCGUGAGUGAAGAAGUAUUUCGGUAUGUAAAGCUCUAUCAGCAGGGAAGAAAAUGACGGUACCUGAGUAAGAAGCCCCGGCUAACUACGUGCCAGCAGCCGCGGUAAUACGUAGGGGGCAAGCGUUAUCCGGAUUUACUGGGUGUAAAGGGAGCGUAGACGGCAGUGCAAGUCUGGAGUGAAAUGCGGGGGCUUAACCCCGGAACUGCUUUGGAAACUGUGCAGCUGGAGUGCAGGAGAGGUAAGUGGAAUUCCUAGUGUAGCGGUGAAAUGCGUAGAUAUUAGGAGGAACACCAGUGGCGAAGGCGGCUUACUGGACUGUAACUGACGUUGAGGCUCGAAAGCGUGGGGAGCAAACAGGAUUAGAUACCCCAGUAGUC